GUCUAUGGUCAGAACACCCAGAAUGCGCCCGAUCUUGUCAGAUUUCAGAAGCCAAGCAGGGUCGGGCCUGGUUUAUACUUGGAUGGGUGAAAAGUGAUCGGAGUGCGGCCAGCUUGCAGGGGGUGGUCAGUGUUUGCU
ensembl:rRNA 5S_rRNA 5S ribosomal RNA